rnacentral:rRNA from 1 species
GAUGAACGCUGGCGGCGUGCCUAAUACAUGCAAGUCGAGCGAACGGACGAGAAGCUUGCUUUUCUGAUGUUAGCGGCGGACGGGUGAGUAACACGUGGAUAACCUACCUAUAAGACUGGGAUAACUUCGGGAAACCGGAGCUAAUACCGGAUAAUAUUUUGAACCGCAUGGUUCAAAAGUGAAAGACGGUCUUGCUGUCACUUAUAGAUGGAUCCGCGCUGCAUUAGCUAGUUGGUAAGGUAACUGCUUACCAAGGCAACGAUGCAUAGCCGACCUGAGAGGGUGAUCGGCCACACUGGAACUGAGACACGGUCCAGACUCCUACGGGAGGCAGCAGUAGGGAAUCUUCCGCAAUGGGCGAAAGCCUGACGGAGCAACGCCGCGUGAGUGAUGAAGGUCUUCGGAUCGUAAAACUCUGUUAUUAGGGAAGAACAUAUGUGUAAGUAACUGUGCACAUCUUGACGGUACCUAAUCAGAAAGCCACGGCUAACUACGUG